GAUGAACGCUGGCGGCGUGCCUAAUACAUGCAAGUCGAGCGAACGGACGAGAAGCUUGCUUCUCUGAUGUUAGCGGCGGACGGGUGAGUAACACGUGGAUAACCUACCUAUAAGACUGGGAUAACUUCGGGAAACCGGAGCUAAUACCGGAUGAUAUUUUGAACCGCAUGGUUCAAAAGUGAAAGACGGUCUUGCUGUCACUUAUAGAUGGAUCCGCGCUGCAUUGGCUAGGUGGUAAGGUAACGGCGUACCACGGCGACGAUGCGUAGCCGACCUGAGAGGGUGAUCGGCCACACUGGAACUGAGACACGGUCCAGACUCCUACGGGAGGCAGCAGUAGGGAAUCUUCCGCAAUGGGCGAAAGCCUGACGGAGCAACGCCGCGUGAGUGAUGAAGGUCUUCGGAUCGUAAAACUCUGUUAUUAGGGAAGAACAUAUGUGUAAGUAACUGUGCACAUCUUGACGGUACCUAAUCAGAAAGCCACGGCUAACUACGUG
rnacentral:rRNA from 1 species